GAGCCCUCCGAAUUGACGUGGAUCCGGUCCUAUAUAUUUCCAGUAAAAUUGCGUCGGGGCCAAGCGGACGCUUCUUCUCCUUCUCUUCGUUCUUAAGAAACAAACAUCCGUCACUCUCUUCGUUCUUAAGAAACAACACCGUGAGAGAGAGCGAGAGAGAGUGUGUGAGUGUGUGAGCCAGCGAUGGGCCCGUCUUCCACCGCGCUUCUUCUCUUCUCUCUCUUUCUCUGCCUCGUGAUCUCACGUGCCAGCGACGAGACCACCAUUCUCAAAGGUGUUGAUCUUGAAAGCCCAGCUAUAGUUGUCACUCCUUCCCCCGUUUCUGUCCUUUCAUCUUCCCGUGGCUCUAAAGAUGCUUUACUGUGUGAACGUGUUCAAGUUUCUGGUCUUUCAAGAUUGAAACUUGGGAGUUAUGCCAGUUCUUUUCGGAUUACCUUGUCUCCAUCUGUAGAAAUUCCAGAGAGAUUACAUAGCAAAAUUAAGGUUUGUUUUCACAGAAAUGAUUCACUUGGCUUAUGUCAGUGUGAAAAUGACGAAUGGAAAUCUUUUAAGGGGCUGUGGGGCUCGGUUAUGUCCCCUUAUGAGUAUAGAUAUAUUGAUGUGAAGUUCAUUGGUGAAGUAUCUGGUUCUGUCACAGUAGCUGUUGAAGAAGAUUUCCAGCGAUGGCGCCUUGUGUGUCUAGCAUUGGGAUGUGUUUUACUACUUUUGGCUCCAAUUGUUAGCAGUUGGGUUCCUUUUUAUUACAGCAGUUCAAUGGUGAUCGGGGUUUUUCUGGUCAUUAUCAUCAUGCUUUUUCAGGGAAUGAAGUUAUUGCCAACUGGUAGGAAAAAUGUCUUCUAUCUUACUGUAUAUGGAUUAGUGCUUGGAGCUGGAUUUUUCCUUUUAAAUUACUUUUCAAUGCUGGUAAAUUCGAUUCUUGUCAAUUUAGGACUCGGUGAAGAGAUGCACAAUCCAGUCUCUAUAUUUGUGCUGGUGGGAAUAAUCCUUGCUGGUGCUGCUUUAGGAUACUGGAUUGUGAGGAAAUUUGUAAUCUCAAAAGAUGGAAGUGUGGAUGUUGGUAUAGCCCAUUUUGUUAAAUGGGCAAUGGGCAUCAUUGGAACCACGUUUAUUUUACAGAGCACUCUUGACACUCCUCUAGCACUGGUGACCUUGGUUUCUUCCUGGGCUAUCUGCAAUCUUAUCUUUUGUCUGAAGUGGGCCAGUACAGUGCAUCAAUCAUAUUCUGGGAGUGUGACUCCUUGGCUAAAGCAGGAGAGACAGACAACAGGAAAGCAUAGCCGUGCUGAAUUCCUUAGCAGAUCAAGCCCUCAAGCAAGGGAAGAUGUGGAAUAGUCCACCGAAGCUAUCUGCUUGGUCGAAUUCUCCCAUUAGAGGUGUAAUAUCGCCAUCUUUUGGGGCAAAGACUGAGCAAGAAUACUAUUCAACCUUCCACAAUGUGCGGAACUGAAAGAAGUUUACAAAGAAAUAGUGGAAUGAAAUGAAGAUUGAAGAGCUGGUAGGAUCUCUUCAGACAUACGAAUAUUCCUUACCUCCGGUCAGAAAGGCAAAGACAAUUGCCCUCAAGGCAUCUAAGGCAUCCAAGAAGAAAUUUAUAGUCUUAUCUGACGAAGAUUCCGAUGUUGAUGAAGAUGCAGUGACAAUGUUAGCCAAGAACUUCGAGCGUUUUAUGAAGAAUAAUAAAUUCAAGAAGUUCUCUGACAGACUAAGAAAGGCUCCCCACACAGCUGAUACAGAAGAAGCAGAGAAGAAAGAUCCGAGGGGUCCCCAGUGCUUCGAAUGUUCAGGUUUUGGGCACAUCAGGACUGAAUGUGCAAAUCUGAAGAAACAAAGAGGGAAAACAUUUAAUGCAACUCUCAGCGAUGAGUUUGAGAAGGAAGAAGAAACUCUUGAGGAAGAAAAAUUCCUGGCCUUCGUGGCCCCACAUGAAGAUAAGGAGGAUUCUCAGUCCUACUACUCUGAGAAUAGUGGAGAAGAAGAUAUGCAGUCAGCCUAUCAACUUCAAUAUGUUGAAUUCCUAAAGCUGGGGAAAAAAUACAAGCAAUAGGUACUAGAGCUGAACAGCCUCAGGACUGAGAAGACCUCUAUGCUCAUAAAGAUCAAUGAUUAAGAAGAAAGGCUACUGGAGAGUUGCAACUAGAGAGAAUCUCAGACGAGAAGCUCACUCACGUGCUCUCCAUUCAGAAGUGUCCAACUGACAAGACCGGACUCGGGUAUGUUCCUACUUCUAUCUCUGAUACUCUGUCUACCUCCAAGACCAUUUUCGUGAGACCAGUUAUGCCUGAAUCUCCACCCCCAAGAAUAGAUAAGGGAAAAGCUGUUAUGAAAUGAAAAGUUCCUAUCAAUCUUUAGCCUUUAGUCAAGCUUCCUAUCAGGAGAAAGCCUCUCACAUGCCAUUACUGUGGCAAGCUAGGGCAUAUCAGACCUAAUUGCCGACAUUGGCAAGUUCAACAGAAGAAAAAAUGGCUGGAUCCUAAAACUCCCAUGUGUCACCAAUGUGGAGUUAGCAGUCAUAUCAGACCAAGGUGUCCUCCACCUAAGCCAACCAAGCAUCAUAGAUCUCCGCCCAGAAAUCAUGUUCCAAAGCAUCAGCAACUGUAGAAGCCUACUCAUACGAAAAAGACUUGGGUCCCCAAGAAGACUGCAAGAAGGGAAAUCUCUGGUGAAGGAACAUCUUCUGCCAGCUCCAUGCAAGAUCUGGUCAGAUUUCUGGCACUACAGCUUAAGAAAGAAGGACAGGACAAAGACGAGGACACCCACUUCGCGAGGGGGAGCAGACCUACCUAGUAGAAUUUUCUAGCAUUUGAUGGAGUCGAUCCUGAUGCACAAAAGACUCAAUUAAAACUUUAUUUGGAUGAACCCAAGUAUUUGGAGAAGAACACGACAUUUGACAUCCUUUCAUUUUGGAAAGGAAAUGAAUUUCGUUAUCUUAAAGUAGCUGCCAUGACUCGUGAUGUUUUGAGUAUUCUUAUUUCUACUAUUGCUUCAGAAUUCACUUUUAGUAUUGGUGGACAUGUGAUUGAUCAGUAUAGGAGUUCACUCAAGCAUGAUAUUGUUGAGGCAUUGGUUUGCACUAGAAAUUGGUUAUAUGGAGAGCAAAAACAAACUUCAAUGAAAGUGGAUAACGAAGAAGAUGAUGUUUUGACAUUGGAUAGUAGCAAUUCCUGUAGUGGAGUUGAAUGACAAAGAUGGGCAUGUCAAACUGACCUGCGUUGGACCCAAUCUGAUGGACAAUGAACAUAUGUAAGUUAUUCAAGAAAUCAAAACUCAAGAGUGGACAAUUAUAAUGCAGUUUUUUGUAUUUGUAAAUUUGUAAUGAUGAUGUAGGGUUUUUUUUUAUUAUUA